GGAGGACCGAACUCGUGAGCGUUGAAAAGCUUUGGGAUGAGUUGUGGAUAGGGGUGAAAUGCCAAUCGAACACGGAGAUAGCUGGUUCUCCCCGAAAUAGCUUUAGGGCUAGCCUCGAGGUAGAGAGUAUAGGCGGUAGAGCACUGAUCGGGCUAGGGGCCAUACCGGUUACCGAACCUAGUCAAACUACGAAUGGCUAUACUUAUACUCGGGAGUCAGACAGUGAAUGAUAAGGUCCAUUGUCAAGAGGGAAACAGCCCAGAACACCGACUAAGGUCCCCAAUGUUACACUAAGUGGCGAAGGAUGUGGAAUUUCCAAAACAACCAGGAUGUUGGCUUAGAAGCAGCCACCAUUUAAAGAGUGCGUAAUAGCUCACUGGUCGAGAGACUCUGCGCCGAAAAUGUCCGGGGCUAAAGUGUAAAACCGAAGUCGUGUCAUAUGCAGCAAUGUAUAUGGGUAGGGGAGCGUUCUCAUCGGGCUGAAGCAGUACCGUAAGGAGUUGUGGACUGAUGAGAAGUGAGAAUGUCGGUAUGAGUAGCGAAAAGAAUGGUGAGAAUCCAUUCCACCGAAAGCCUAAGGGUUCCUGAGCAACGAUCGUCGUCUCAGGGUAAGUCGGGACCUAAGCCGAGGCGGAAAAGCGUAGGCGAUGGACAACAGGUUGAAAUUCCUGUACCGGUGUGAAUCGUUUGAUCGAUGGAGUGACACAGUAAGGUAGGUCAGCACGCGAUUGGAAGAGCGUGUUUAAGCAGGUAGGUUGAGCUAUAGGCAAAUCCGUAGCUCUAAAAGCUGAGAUGUGAUGACGAGCUGUUUACAGCGAAGUGAUUGAUCCUACACUGUCGAGAAAAGCUUCUAGGUAGAGACACAUCGCCCGUACCAAAACCGACACAGGUAGGCGGGGAGAGAAUCCUAAGGUGCGCGGGAAAACCCUCGUUAAGGAACUCGGCAAAAUGACCCCGUAACUUCGGGAAAAGGAGGACUCAUGUAGUGUGAAGGGCAGUAACGCGUGGAGCAUGAAUGAGUGGCACAAGAGAGGCGCAAGCGACUGUUUACCACAAACACAGGUGCCUGCUAAAGCGAAAGCUGAUGUAUAGGUGCUGACACCUGCCCGGUGCUGGAAGGUUAAGAGGAGGGGUUAGACUUCGGUCGAAGCUCUGAAUUGAAGCCCCAGUAAACGGCGGCCGUAACUAUAACGGUCCUAAGGUAGCGAAAUUCCUUGUCGGGUAAGUUCCGACCCGCACGAAAGGUGUAACGACU
rnacentral:rRNA from 1 species